rnacentral:lncRNA from 1 species
AGGAAUGUGAUAUGCAACGUACACUUAGCACAUGCUGGUUCCUUUCUCUUCCUUCUAUAACUCAGCACUGACCUUCAGUCCCUGUGCUGACAUCCCUACCCCUGCCUCACUGCCUAUUUGAGGACCUUUCCUACUCAGUGGUGCCUUAUUGAAAUGGAGCAUAUUCCUGCCACCCACAGAUUGGAGCACCCACCCCUGCUGGACAAGACCCUUCCUGGGGGGGCCACCUUCUUGGAACUCUGAAUCGAGACUUGAAGACUGAGGAAGACUAGGAGGCUGCUGCCAUUUGAAGAUGAAGUGUACAAUAUGACAGGGAAUCAAGUGAACAGAAAGUGUUGAGGGGGAUCCCAGCAGAUAGCCAACAAAAGGGAACCUCACUUCUACAGCAGCAAGGGACUGCAUUCUGCCAAAAACCUAAUGAACUUGGAAGCAGAUUCUUUUCUAGAGUCUGUAGAGAGAUGAGCAGGAAGGAGGGAUAUUAGAAGAGAGAAAGUGAAAACUGGACUGAAACAUUGCUAGCUGGGGAUCUUAGCCUCUCUUUAGGCAACUCACUCCUAGUCCUAUUCUCUGCACAUGUGGGAAUUAUAAUGAGCACCAAGCAGAAUGAAUGAAAAUAAAUCCAGACCGAGAACCACUGAUGAAACUGCAACCCACAAGAGAAAACUAGCCAGAGUAUCUGCACAGGAAGGAUAGGGAGACUUCUCUUUAUAAUAACAGAACCCAUAAGACUAUCUACAAGGUUCUGCCCACAGGGGAGAUUGUGACCUAUUGCUGGCCCCAACACCAAGUUGAAGUUACACAUUUGCCUUGGCCCUGCCCUGAGAAGGUGCUGUGACAUAUUGCUGGGCCCAGCACCAAGGUGAUGGGACUCUCCUCUUUCUCCUGGAACCUGUCCACAGCGGGGAUUGUGAUGUAUUGCUUGGCCCAGCACCUCUGUGAUGUGACUCUCCUUUGCCUGGGGCCAACCCACUGGGGUAAUUGUGACAAAUAACUGGACCUAGCCCCUAGGUUAUGUGACUCACCUCUCCUUCCUGAGCCCUGCCCACCCCUCCUGAGCCCUGUGUGGACCCCUCACCUAGGUGAUGUGAGUCUCUUGCCUGGGCCCACCCCUCAGGGUGUGCAGUGACAUAUUGCUGGACCCAGCACCUAGGUGAUGUGACUCUUUUCUACUGCUUGGCUCUGCCCAAGGAGAAAUUGUUAUGUAUCACUAGACCCAACACCUAGGUGAUGGGACUCUCCUCUUUUGCCUGGGCCCCACAUGUUUUGGGUAUUGUGACCUGGGUGAUGGGAGCCUACUGCUUGAACCCUACCCACAGGGAGCUUUGUGACAUAUCUCUGCAUCCAUCACCUAGGAGAUGUGACUCUCCUCUCAUGCCUGGCCCCAGCAAAAAGGGGGGAUCAUGACAUGUCACUGGACUCAUCAUCUAGGUGAUGGGACUCUCCUCUUUUGCCUUGGCCCCACAUACUUUGGGUAUUGUGACAUAACGCUGGGCCCAACACCUGGGUGAUGGAAGGCUCCUGCCUGGGCCCUGCUCACAGAGAGCCUUGUGACAGAUCUCUGCAUCCAUCGUCACCUAGAUGUUGUGACUCUCCUGUUCUGCCUGCACCCUGCCCAUGGGGAAGAUUGUAACAUAUCCCUGGGUGCUGUUCCCAGUCUUGCCUCAUGGUCUUUGCCCCAGCUGUGUCCUCUGCCCUGCAGGAUGCACCUCUGCUCCGUGUGGCUCCCUCCCACUCUCACUCUCCAAAUGCCCCGAACCCCUGAGCCCCACUGCAGCCCCACUGUACCCUGGCUCUGCAGCGCUGCUUCUUCAUGAUGUGCGUCUUCUAACAGCAGACGGGGGCAUGAAUGUGGACGCCUCAUUCACUGCUCUGCGCCAGCAUCCAGAGCAGUACUGGAGCCCAGAGCAGGCACCUGACUGAUAGUUGUUGAAUGAGUACAGUAAUGAAUGACAAUGAAAACACUGUGUAGAAACACUGGCUGAAUAGUACCUAGAAAGAAAAUGUCUCAAAUACCUACAUUAGCAAUGAAAAAAACACUGCUAAUUAAUGAACUAAGCAUCUAAUUCAAGAAACAAAGCAACGCAUCUAACUUAUAGAAAAAGUGAAAAAAAUAAAAAACAUAAGAUCAAAAACUG